CGCCUCUUGCCUAAUAUAAGAGGUCCCGCCUGCCCAGUGAAAAAUUUUCAACGGCCGCGGUAUUUUAACCGUGCGAAGGUAGCGUAAUAACUUGUCUUUUAAUUGGAGACCUGUAUGAAUGGCACCACGAGGGCUAAACUGUCUCCUCCUCCUGGUCAAUGAAACUGAUCUCUUCGUGAAAAAGCGAAGAUACCGCCAUAAGACGAGAAGACCCUGUGGAGCUUAAGACAAAGAGAAGACUGCCCUGCCAGACCCCCCACUAACCCAAGUAAAACAGGCGCCCCUUCUUCCGAUGUCUUUGGUUGGGGCGACCGCGGGGCAACACAAAACCCCCAUGUGGAAUGGAAUAUUUAACCCAAUGCUAGAGCGACAGCUCUAACUAACAGAACUUCUGACCGUCAAGACCCAGCAAUGCUGAUUAACGGACCGAGUUACCCCAGGGAUAACAGCGCAAUCCUCUCCAAGAGACCCUAUCGACGAGGGGGUUUACGACCUCGAUGUUGGAUCGGGGCGACCUAAUGGUGCAGCCGCUAUUAAGGGUUCGUUUGUUCAACGAUUAAAGCCCU
rnacentral:rRNA from 1 species